GGGGUUGUAGCUCAGUGGUUGAGCAUCUGCUUUGCACAGAGCAGGACCCAGGUUCAAUCCAUGAUGUCUCCA